rnacentral:lncRNA from 1 species
ACACCUUUUAUUUUCUACACACAACUCGAUCGUAGCAAAUGGCUGCCCCCCCCGGGAAAGAGAAAAGAUGCGUGUUGUUUAGCUCAGUGUCGCGAUCACGACCUGUGAAUUUCUUCUAAUCGUCCUGCGAUCCUCUUCUUCGUUUCAUCGAGUCCCCUUAGAAAGUUCGUGAUGAUUCGAAAGGCUAGGAAAGAAGGAAAUAUGAGAAUCCAAGAGAGCACAGAGUGCUGCUCUCCGUGCGUGAACGAGGAUGACCGGUGAACAACAACGUCAAAAUGUUCGACUUCAUUUCCAUUCUGGGCAUCUUAAAAGUAAGGCUGAACUAAUAACGAGCUCCUUGUUAUACUAUUUUACGACAAAGCUCUCAACGUACGUUUGGCGUAUUAUUCGAAAACGAUCGUUAGCUCGUAAAUCAUUCUUUUGAAAAUGUUCUCAUACAAUUACGGGUCAGUUUGUACGAAAUAAUAUUCGAAAUCAAGCGAGAAAUACUAUUAUACGGUUAUCGGUUUCCCCUUGUCCCUUCGUUCCUGCCGUUCGUUGUCAUCGUUCUUCCAAGAGGAGAGUCUAAAGGUACAAGGACCUCUCCCUCUCCCUCUCUUGUUAUCAAAGAAGCGAGUUUGAAUUUUGUUCAGGUCCGUUUCGAAUUAACAUUACCCAAUAAACGUGAUCUCAAGUAAAAAUUCUAACGUACCCGUUUCUAAGAGCUUUUUUUUUUUACUUUUUACGUAUACUAAAUUCUAAUAAGAUGAAAAAAUAUCUUCACGUUCGAUGGCACGACGAACGAACGAACGAACGAACGAUCAUGCGGAAGACGGGCCCAACGUAGCCCGGAAGCGUGUAAAUCGACCUUUAAGGUUCGUCGAUCGGUAAGGCGGACAACACUCGUCGAGUACAGAAGAGUGAGAGAAAAA